AAGACCUUGCACUUUUGGAGCGGCCGAUGUCUGAUUAGCUAGUUGGUGGGGUAAUGGCCUACCAAAGCUUCGAUCAGUAGCUGGUCUGAGAGGACGGCCAGCCACACUGGGACUGAGACACGGCCCAGACUCCUACGGGAGGCAGCAGUGGGGAAUUUUGGACAAUGGGCGCAAGCCUGAUCCAGCCACGCCGCGUGAGUGAAGAAGGCCUUCGGGUUGUAAAGCUCUUUCAGCCGGGAAGAAAAGGUUGCGACUAAUAAUCGCAAUCCAUGACGGUACCGAAAGAAGAAGCACCGGCUAACUACGUGCCAGCAGCCGCGGUAAUACGUAGGGUGCGAGCGUUAAUCGGAAUUACUGGGCGUAAAGGGUGCGCAGGCGGUUUUGUAAGUCAGAUGUGAAAUCCCCGGGCUUAACCUGGGAACU
rnacentral:rRNA from 1 species